AACGUAGGAGGCAAGCGUUAUCCGGAGUUACUGGGCGUAAAGCGCGUGUAGGCGGCCAGAUAGGUCUGUUGUGAAAACUCGAGGCUCAACCUCGAGCUGUCGGCGGAAACCAUCUGGCUAGAGUCCGGAAGAGGAGAGUGGAAUUCCUGGUGUAGCGGUGAAAUGCGCAGAUAUCAGGAAGAACACCUAUGGCGAAGGCAGCUCUCUGGGACGGUACUGACGCUGAGACGCGAAAGCGUGGGGAGCGAACAGG
rnacentral:rRNA from 1 species